GGGUGGGGGGCUUAAAGAGGCCCGACGCGGCCCCUAUGAGCGAGCCCCCUGCCGCGGGGUCAACA
rnacentral:snoRNA from 1 species